rnacentral:misc_RNA from 1 species
UCGCGUCUUACGACGGCAGUUUCACUAGAGUUCCCAGCGUUACCUGAUGGCAACUAGUGAUGGGGGUUGCGCUCGUUGCGGGACUUAACCCAACACCUCACGGCACGAGCUGACGACAGCCAUGCAGCACCUUACUACCAGUCCCUUGCGGGAAAGACCCCUUUCAGGAUCGGUCCGGUAGCAUUCUAGCCCAGGUAAGGUUCCUCGCGUAUCAUCGAAUUAAACCACAUGCACCACCGCUUGUGCGGACCCCCGUCAGUUCCUUUGAGUUUCAACCUUGCGGUCGUACUUCCCAGGUGGGAUACUUAAUGCUUUCGCUCAGACACACACAGUUUAUCGCGUAUGUCGAGUAUCCAUAGUUUAGGGCGUGGACUAC